CUGCUACGCUACAGGUUAAGCUAAGCUAAGGCUAGCUAGCAUGACCGCUGAUGACGGUGGAUAAACUGUUUUCCUGGAAUGCUUUACCCCCACGCUGUUCUGAGUCAUCGUGUGAGCACUUCGAGAGCAGACAAAAGAAGGAAAAGUGGACAUGUCGAAGGUUUUCAGGUGAAAGGUGGGAUUAGAAGCUCCUCCCUAAAUAAAUCCACGGAGCGUCAACAGAUUGCGCCUCCAUUUACCUGAGAAGAUGGCAGCACACCAACUUUACUACAUUUUGUCAUGGUGUUAAACUUCAACAAGUCAUUAAUGAUGCCCUACACCAACAUCGACAAGGCCACGAUCCUGGACUUGGAGCUUUGAUUCUUGCCUCAAGGAGAUGCUUCAGAAUAAAAGUGAUCUUUCCAAAGUUUUGAAUCCCCUCAGACAUACUUGCUCCCUGGUUUGAACUUUGCUCUUUAAAAAUGAAUAAAAUUUUUCUUAAUUCAUAUGUUUUACUAUUAUUUCAUGAAGAUGCAUUUGUAUGAGGGGAGAAAUGUUAGCUAGGUGGUUAUCAGUUU